AUCUAAAUAGUUUAAAUAAAAUUUUGAUUUGUGAUUUCAAAGAUAUAAAUUAAUUAUUUUAGAUA
rnacentral:tRNA from 1 species